GUCAGAUCUUAACCAUUAGGGGGUGGAAAGAGGUGGCCCUCAGGUCAGAUCUUAACCAUUAGGGUGUGGAAAGAGGUGGCCCUCAGGUCAGAUCUUAACCAUUAGGGGGUGGAAAGAGGUGGCCCUCAGAUCAGAUCUUAACCAUUAGGGGGUGGAAAGAGGUGGCCCUCAGAUCAGAUCUUAACCAUUAGGGGGUGGAAAGAGGUGGCCCUCAGAUCAGAUCUUAACCAUUAGGGGGUGGAAAGAGGUGGCCCUCAGAUCAGAUCUUAACCAUUAGGGGGUGGAAAGAGGUGGCCCUCAGAUCAGAUCUUAACCAUUAGGGUGUGGAAAGAGGUGGCCCUCAGGUCAGAUCUUAACCAUUAGGGUGUGGAAAGAGGUGGCGAUCAGAUCAGAUCUUAACCAUUAGGGGGUGGAAAGAGGUGGCCCUCAGAUCAGAUCUUAACCAUUAGGGGGUGGAAAGAGGUGGCCCUCAGAUCAGAUCUUAACCAUUAGGGGGUGGAAAGAGGUGGCCCUCAGGUCAGAUCUUAACCAUUAGGGGGUGGAAAGAGGUGGCCCUCAGGUCAGAUCUUAACCAUUAGGGUGUGGAAAGAGGUGGCCCUCAGAUCAGAUCUUAACCAUUAGGGGGUGGAAAGAGGUGUCUCAAUCAGGCCAUUCAGCAUAUGAACAGGGCUUGUCUGGUCAGCUGCAACAAACAAAAACAGGUUGCAAAAUUUCACAAAAUUCCCAGGUUUUCCCAAAUCCUGGUUGGCAGAUUCCCGCAAUCAGGAAGGAAUAUGCAGGCAAGGGACUCUCCAACCAGGAUUUCUGGAAAACUUUUCUGAAAAAAUGUAUUGAGCGUUCCCCAAAAACGUGCAACCAUAGUUCAGCAUAUGAAUUGAGGAAAUUGGUAAUUUAAUAUCUGACCCUGUGUCAGUGGUGA